AGCGAACGCUGGCGGCAGGCCUAACACAUGCAAGUCGAACGAAGUCUACGGACUUAGUGGCGGACGGGUGAGUAACACGUGGGAACGUGCCUUUAGGUUCGGAAUAACUCAGGGAAACUUGUGCUAAUACCGAAUGUGCCCUUCGGGGGAAAGAUUUAUCGCCUUUAGAGCGGCCCGCGUCUGAUUAGCUAGUUGGUGAGGUAAAGGCUCACCACGGCUACGAUCAGUAGCUGGUCUGAGAGGAUGACCAGCCACAUUGGGACUGGGACACGGCCCAAACUCCUACGGUGGGCAGCAGUGGGGAAUCUUGCGCAAUGGGCGAAAGCCUGACGCAGCCAUGCCGCGUGGAUGAUGAAGGUCUUAGGAUUGUAAAAUCCUUUCACCGGUGAAGAUAAUGACUGUAGCCGGAGAAGAAGCCCCGGCUAACUUCGUGCCAGCAGCCGCUGUAAGAC
rnacentral:rRNA from 1 species